GGUGAGAGUGGACGUCGGGGAUUCUAGUAUCAGAUCAGUAGGGGUACAGGUAGGUAAAAACUGAUAAAAGGAAGUGAAGGGAGUGUGUCACUGAGGUGCUAUUUCAACGGGACCAGAGAGAAUAUGCAUCUGCUAAUCCACUCAAAAAUUUUUCAAGUAUUUUUCUUCCCUCUCCACCAGACACUAUUUGCCAUAUAUGGGGACGAUGUGCCAAGAAGCUCACCUCGGAGUUGCCAUUGUGGCACAAUGGUUAACGAAUCCGACUAGGAGACAUAAGGUUGCGGGUUCGGUCCCUGCCCUUGCACAGUGGGUAAACGAUCUGGCAUUGCCAUGAACUCUUGUGUAGCUUGCAGACGUGGCUCAGAUCCCGCGGUGCUGUGGCUCUGGUGUAGGCUGGUGGAUGCAGCUCCGAUUCGACCCCUAGACUGGAAAACCUACAUAUGCUGUGGUACCGGCAAAAGAAAUGGCAAAAAAUAAAUAAAUAAAUAAAAAGCCUACCCGAAUCGAGGGAAGAGAGAACGAUGCCCGGGAGCGCCUUAACUUCACGCCGGGCGCAAGGGCGGAAGGGGGCCGAUUGGUUGACAGCCGGCUGCCUUGCCUUAAGAAGCAGGGCGUCUGAUGUCAAGCCGCCUCUCCCUCUGCCGACUGCCUGCCUGCCUGCCUGCCUGCCUGCCUGCCUGCCUGCCUGUGCCAAGAAGCCUACCCGAAUCGAGGGAAGAGAGAACGAUGCCCGGGAGCGCCUUAACUUCACGCCGGGCGCAAGGGCGGAAGGGGGCCGAUUGGUUGACAGCCGGCUGCCUUGCCUUAAGAAGCAGGGCGUCUGAUGUCAGUGAGUGGGGCGGUUUCGUUGGGGGCGAGAGGCCUGGCCGACCUUGCGAGGGUCUUCCCCACGCCCCUGGUGCAUUUCAACGUGCGGCGAGGGUGAGGGGUGUGGAGAUCACGCUGGCGAGUGCCCCAGGCCCCUGCAGACCAGGCCGCUUUCUCCCCCUGGGGGUGCCAGAGAAGGGCAGAGCGUUGCUGUUACGGCAGGUGUCCGCCAGACGGCGCCAAAGCGCCGGCAGAGCUGCUCUGGCUCUGCCUGGCUGCAACUCCAGGCUCAGAAUGGGCCUGGAGCAGGAUGGAAGGAAACGCAAGGAGGGCCCAGACAGAGCCUUGUGUUGGUGUACCGGGUACCUGUGA
rnacentral:lncRNA from 9 species